rnacentral:rRNA from 1 species
GAGAAGGCAAGCAUGCCUUCAUGUCCUAAGCCCGUUCUAGCCUCGGGCAUGCAUGACGAUCAAUUUGUUUUGCCUCUCAAAUGGGCAAAAUGAUAGGUAUCAUCGUCUGUGGCCAAUAACGAGCCCUCGAUGCAUAUCACGCUAAGGAACUAGAAUGAAAAAGAAUGUGUGUGAUGUUGAUAUCCCUUUCACAGUGUAUUCGUAGGUGGCAUUGUAACUCCUUUUGUCAUGGAAAACCAAAAUGACUCUCAGUAAUAGAUAUCCUAGGUUUCGCAUUGAUGAAGAACGUAGCAAAAUGUUAUACUUGGUGAGAAUUGCAAAAUCCCAUGUGUAGAAAAAUUCUUGUAUUUUUGUUGGCAUCCACAAAAACAUUCAACUAAAAAAUCAGUGUAAAAGAUUUUGUGGCCAUUUGAAAAAAGUGUCCCCCUUUCAAACACUUGAAUGGCUACUGACUAUGAACCGUAAAAACUUUGAUGCUCAUUAAGAGGGUGUGAGUUAUUGAGGUUCAUUGGGGGAUAGGGGGCCAAUAUAAGGGCCAAAGACCAACACCCAUCACACAUCAUAUGCGUACACCCCCUGGCUCCUCACCUUUAAUUGUCGAAACCCCCAUUGCUGUCGAUUCAAUUUUUUUAUGAUGCUAUGGUGAUUGGAGUAAUGAUUAAUAGGGAUAGUCAAGAACAUUCGUAUUUCAUAGUCAAAGGUGAAAUUCUUGGAUUUAUGAAAGAUGAACAACUGUGAAAGCAUUUGCCAAUGAUGUUUUCAUUAAUCAAGAACGGAAGUUAAAGGCUCAAAGCUAAUUAGAUACUGUCUUAGUCUUAACCAUAAACGAUGCCAACCAAGGAUUAACGGAUGUUACUUUUAGGACUCCUCUGGCACCUUAUAAGAAAUCAAAGUCUUUGGGUUUCAGGUAGAGUAUGGUCAUAAGGCUAAAACUUAAAGAAAUUGAUGAAAGGGCACCACUAGUAGUGGAGCCUAUGGCUUAAUUUGACUCAACAUAUGGAAACUUACCAAGUCUAGACAUACUAAGGAUUGAUAGAUUAAGAGCUCUUUUUUUAUUCUAUGGGUGGUAGUGCAUGGCCGUUCUUAGUUGGUGGAGAGAUUUGUUUGGUUAAUUCAAUUAACGAAUGAGACCUCAGCCUACUAACUAGCUAUGCGAAGGUGAACCUUCGUGGCUAGCUUCUUAGAAUGACUAUGGCCUUUUAGGCUAAGGAAGUUUAAGGCAAUAACAAGUCUAUGAUACCUUUAGAUAUUUUGGGUCGCACACUCAAUACACUAAUGUAUUCAAUAUGUCCAUAGCCUUGGUUGAUAGGGCCAGGUAAUCUUUGAAAUUUCAUCAUGAUAGGGAUAGAUUAUUGCCAUUGUUGGUCUUCAAUGAGGAAUUCUUAGUAAGGGUAAGUCAUCAGCUUACAUUAACUACAUCCCUACCCUUUGUACACACCACCUGUCACCCUACUAAUUGAAUGGUCCAUGAAGUGUUUGUCGCCUGCAACAUCAUGAGAAGUCUAUUAAACUUUAUAAUUUAGAGAAAGGAGAAGUCAUAACAAGGUUUUCAUAGGUGAACUUAUGGAAA